UACGUAGGGGGCAAGCGUUGUCCGGAAUCAUUGGGCGUAAAGCGCGUGUAGGCGGUCCGGUAAGUCGGCUGUGAAAGUCCAGGGCUCAACCCUGGGAUGCCGGUCGAUACUGCCGGACUAGAGUUCGGAAGAGGCGAGUGGAAUUCCCGGGUGUAGCGGUGAAAUGCGCAGAUAUCGGGAGGAACACCAAUGGCGAAGGCAGCUCGCUGGGACGUUACUGACGCUGAGACGGCGAAAGCGUGGG
rnacentral:rRNA from 1 species